rnacentral:rRNA from 1 species
AGGGCACCACCAGGAGUGGAGCCUGCGGCUUAAUUUGACUCAACACGGGAAAACUCACCCGGCCCGGACACUGGAAGGAUUGACAGAUUGAGAGCUCUUUCUUGAUUCAGUGGGUGGUGGUGCAUGGCCGUUCUUAGUUGGUGGAGUGAUUUGUCUGGUUAAUUCCGAUAACGAACGAGACUCUAGCCUACUAAAUAGAUCGUCGGCUUACAAACGCCGACGAGACUUCUUAGAGGGACAGGCGGUGAUUCAACCGCACGAAACAGAGCAAUAACAGGUCUGUGAUGCCCUUAGAUGUCCGGGGCCGCACGCGCGCUACACUGAAGUGAUCAGCGUGCUUUUUCAACCUACUCUGUCAAGAGUGGGGAACCCAAUGAACCUUCUUCGUGAUUGGGAUAGGGGAUUGUAAUUAUUCCCCUUGAACGAGGAAUUCCCAGUAAGCGCGAGUCAUAAGCUCGCGUUGAUUACGUCCCUGCCCUUUGUACACACCGCCCGUUGCUACUACCGAUUGAAUGUUUU